UCAAAGCUAGCCUAUACACCUACUCAACUAGACUUUAUAAAUCCAAUCUAUAUAAUAAUCCCCAACUAAAACAUUCUCAACCUUUCAGUAUGGGUGACAGAACAAUAACCCCAGCGCAAUAGCUCAUGUACCGCAAGGGAAAGCUGAAAAAGAAAUGAAACAAAUCAUUAAAGUACUAAAAAGCAGAGAUCAUACCUCGUACCUUUUGCAUCAUGAUUUAGCUAGAAAAACUAGGCAAAAAGACCUUAAGUCUACCUCCCCGAAACUAAACGAGCUACUCCGAAGCAGCAUUAUAGAGCUAACCCGUCUCUGUGGCAAAAGAGUGGGAAGACUUCCGAGUAGUGGUGAAAAACCUACCGAGUUUAGUGAUAGCUGGUUACCCAAGAAAAGAACUUCAGUUCUGCAUUAAUUUUUUAUUAUCUAAACAAGACUUACUCGUCAAAGAAACCCAUAAGAAUUAAUAGUUAUUUAGAAGAGGUACAACCCUUCUAAACCAAGACACAACUUUUUAAGGUGGGAAAUGAUCAUAAUUAUUAAGGUUAAUAUCCCAGUAGGCCUAAAAGCAGCCAUCUGUAAAGUAAGCGUCACAGCUCUAAUCUAAUACUAAACCUCUAAUUUAGAUAUCCAUUCACAACCCCCUUAUCCUAUUGGAUUAUUUUAUAUUUAUAUAAAAGAACUUAUGCUAAAAUGAGUAAUAAAGAGAAUAAACCUCUCCCGACACAAGUGUACGUCAGAAAGAAUUAAAUCACUGAUAAUUAAACGACCCCAAACUGAGGCCAUUAUAUCACUCAAACAUUAACUAGAAAACCCUAUUCUUCUACUCGUUACCCCUACACAGGAGUGUCACCAGGAAAGA
rnacentral:rRNA from 1 species